rnacentral:tRNA from 1 species
AGACAGUUAGCUCAGUCGGUUAGAGCGUGGUGCUGACAACACCAAAGUUGUGGGUUUGAUCCCCGUUUGGUCCC